rnacentral:rRNA from 1 species
GACGAACGCUGGCGGCGUGCUUAACACAUGCAAGUCGAACGGAAAGGCCCUGCUUUUGUGGGGUGCUCGAGUGGCGAACGGGUGAGUAACACGUGAGUAACCUGCCCUUGACUUUGGGAUAACUUCAGGAAACUGGGGCUAAUACCGGAUAGGAGCUCCUGCUGCAUGGUGGGGGUUGGAAAGUUUCGGCGGUUGGGGAUGGACUCGCGGCUUAUCAGCUUGUUGGUGGGGUAGUGGCUUACCAAGGCUUUGACGGGUAGCCGGCCUGAGAGGGUGACCGGCCACAUUGGGACUGAGACACGGCCCAGACUCCUACGGGAGGCAGCAGUGGGGAAUAUUGCACAAUGGGCGGAAGCCUGAUGCAGCAACGCCGCGUGCGGGAUGACGGCCUUCGGGUUGUAAACCGCUUUCGCCUGUGACGAAGCGUGAGUGACGGUAAUGGGUAAAGAAGCACCGGCCAACUACGUG